UACGUAGGGUGCGAGCGUUAAUCGGAAUUACUGGGCGUAAAGCGUGCGUAGGCGGUUCGCUGUGUCCGAUGUGAAAGCCCCGGGCUUAACCUGGGAAUGGCAUUGGAAACUGGCGGGCUUGAGUGCGGCAGAGGGGGGUGGAAUUCCGCGUGUAGCAGUGAAAUGCGUAGAGAUGCGGAGGAACACCGGUGGCGAAGGCGGUUCUCUGGGCCUUACCUGACGCUGAGGAGCGAAAGCGUGGGGAGCAAACAGG
rnacentral:rRNA from 1 species